GACGAACGCUGGCGGCGUGCCUAAUACAUGCAAGUCGAACGCUGAAGGAGGAGCUUGCUCUUCUGGAUGAGUUGCGAACGGGUGAGUAACGCGUAGGUAACCUGCCUGGUAGCGGGGGAUAACUAUUGGAAACGAUAGCUAAUACCGCAUAAGAGAAGAUGUUGCAUGACGUUUACUUAAAAGGUGCAAUUGCAUCACUACCAGAUGGACCUGCGUUGUAUUAGCUAGUUGGUGGGGUAACGGCUUACCAAGGCGACGAUACAUAGCCGACCUGGGAGGGGGGUCGGGCCCACUGGGAACGGGACACGGGCCAGACUUCUUCGGGAGGCAGCAGUAGGGAAGUUUUGGCAAUGGACGGAAGGCUGGACGAGGCAAGGCGGGUGAGGGGAGAAGGUUUUUCGGUUGGUAAAGCCCGUUGUAAGGGGAGGAAGAGUGGUAGAGUGGAAAGUUCACGUUGUGACGGUACCUUACCAGAAAGCGACGGCUAACUACGUG
rnacentral:rRNA from 1 species